UACGUAGGGCGCAAGCGUUGUCCGGAAUUAUUGGGCGUAAAGAGCUCGUAGGCGGUUUGUCGCGUCUGCUGUGAAAACCUGAGGCUCAACCUCGGGCCUGCAGUCGAUACGGGCAAACUAGAGUACUGCAGGGGAGACUGGAAUUCCUGGUGUAGCGGUGAAAUGCGCAGAUAUCAGGAGGAACACCGGUGGCGAAGGCGGGGUCUCUGGGCAGUAACUGACGCUGGAGGAGCGAAAGCCGUGGGGAGCGAACAGG
rnacentral:rRNA from 1 species